GACGAACGCUGGCGGCGCGCUUAACACAUGCAAGUCGAACGGAAAGGCCUGCUUUCCCUUGUGGAUUGCGGGUACUCGAGUGGCGAACGGGUGAGUAACACGUGAGUGAUCUGCCCCCAACUUGGGUAUAAGCCUGGGAAACUGGGUCUAAUUCCCGAUAGGACUGCAGGGUGGUGCCUGUGGUGGAAAACGAUUUUCUAGUGGUUGGGGAUGAGCUCGCGGCCUAUCAGCUUGUUGGUGGGGUAAUGGCCUACCAAGGCGGCGACGGGUAGCCGGCCUGAGAGGGUGGACGGCCACAUUGGGACUGAGAUACGGCCCAGACUCCUACGGGAGGCAGCAGUGGGGAAUAUUGCACAAUGGGCGGAAGCCUGAUGCAGCGACGCCGCGUGGGGGAUGACGGCCUUCAGGUUGUAAACUCCUUUCGACCGCGAGGAAGCCACCUGGUUGGAAGGGUGGUGACGGUAGUGGUAGAAGAAGCACCGGCUAACUACGUG
rnacentral:rRNA from 1 species